ensembl:lncRNA
UUUUUUUGUUGUUUUCUUGUUUUGUGUUGUUUUUUGAGACAGUCUCACUCUGUCGUCCAGGCUGGAGUACAGUGGCCCGAUCUCAGCUCGCUACAACCUCUGCCUCCCGGGCUCAAGCAAUUCUCCUGCCUCAGCCUCCCUAGUAGCUGGAAUUACAGGCGUCCACCACGAUGCCCAGCUAAUUUUUGUAUUUUUAGUAGAGACAGGGUUUCACCAUGUUGGCCAGGCUGGUCUCAAACUCCUGACCUCAAGUGACGCACACACCUCGGCCUCCCCAAGUGCUGGGAUUACAGGCGUGAGCCACCGCACCUGGCCUGGACCUCAAGAUUUUCUCAAGUGGGAAGCCAAGAUUUCUCAAGAUUUUCUCUGUGGGAUGUUUUGGACAAAUGGUGACUGGCAGGUCUCACUGCCCAGCACAGCUGGACCCUAGGGCUACUUCUGGAGCAGGAUGGAGUUGGGUCCAGGGCAGAAGGCAGUUUUCUUCCAGAAACCCAGAGAAGGCUAAGGGCAUAGAGCUGUUAGCAGUGGCCUCUUGCAGGACCAAGCCGGCCUGCAUGCAGCCUCGCUGCUCCUGGAACUUGACUGCAGGUUCCCCACCACACCCUCGAAUGCACAGCAGGCACCUGCAGGAAGUAUAAGCAGCUCCACAAGUCUAAGAGCCCAGUCAUGGUUCACAGGCAAGGAACUCAUCGGUCAUGCCUAGCGCUGGUGGUGUCCUCACCAAGAACACCGACGAAGACAACUUACAUCCUGCUGAGAACUUGCGGUGAUAAAUACGCAGGUCCAAUGUGAGGCACUGAACAUUUGUGUAAUCAUCUAGCAAAGGACGAGAUCGGAUGCCUUGUGUCUGGGUUUGUGACUUCCGCCUUGUAAAUGGAUAAACAUUUCACAUCUCCACGUAAGACUGAAACAUGAACCCCUAUCUUUUUUCAUAGCAGACACAAACAAAUACUACUUUUUUAUCACUGCAAAGCACUUGAUGUAAGUUCAUUAAAAUGAAAGAUUGGAGAGCCCCCAAAUAUAGGAUAAUAUGAUUCAUGUAUAGAUCCUGGAUAAUAGAUGUGGUUUCUAUUAUUUUCCUACUACAUAAAGGACUAAUCCUGCUGCUGCAGGAACAGUGCUGCCUUUCUCUUCACGAGCCAUUUUCAUAAAACUGGAUAAACAACAAACACAACCAUGAUUAGCUGUGACAGUUCCCCAUUGAUUUAUUGGACUCAAAUCCUAAGGAGAAGUCUAGUUUUAGGUCUGUCUCCGCACGUUUUUAUCAAAUACUAAAACUAGAAAAAUGAAAUGAUCCACUAUCUUCAAAAUAAUAGAAAAUAAAAGGUUCUGCAACUUAAAGAGAUCUUCCUAAUGUUACCAAGCAAGAUGCAGGAUUUGCAUUUUUGGAACCCUGUCCCUUCAAAGUGAAGCAGCAGUGGAGAGACCCUCUUGCCGGCAUGCUUUUUAAGCCCAGCCUGAGUUCUCUAUGCUUGAGAGCGUCUUAUGAUGCUGUAACUAACCUCAAACCUGGAGCAGCAGGGGGGCAACAAACCUCAGAAUACAGCAAUGUCAUGCUUUACAGGCACUCUCUCAGCAACAGCAUGAAUGAGGGGGGAAAUUGGUUGCCUAGGAAACCCUCUAGUCCUGGUAAUUUUUACUGUAACUGACUGCACACCCCACCUAUAACAGAAAUGAAUAAUAAUUUAUAAUCGCUGACUGGCAGCUUUCUGUCUGUGCCUCUGCUCACCACUGCUACCUACUGGCAUGCAAAAUUAGUUACAAGCAAACAGUGGGGUAUGCAGAGAGGAAAAACCACCAGCAAAAAGAACAUUUCAAGAAAUCUUCUCCCAUCUUCCCCCACCAGGUUCUGAAUAUAGUUCAAGUCAAUUGCUGCUCGAUCAAUAGAGCAAAAAUGAAAAGUGCUUUGUACAGGGGUUGAACAAUGUAAUGGAAGUUGGUCAUCUCAAUUAAAAGCAAUUUCAUAUUGUGACAUGAACUAGACCAAAAGAAGGUGCUUAAUAAGGUUAACAGACGCUAAAUAACAGCAUAUAUCUUAAUGACCCCAAAUAUAUGACUCACAAGCUAUUUAAUAGUAUAGAAUUUGAUACUAAGCAAAACCGCUAUAAAUAAAAUCCUAUCUGGUAGUUUUGAUCAAUUAAACUACAUAAUUAACAAAGAUGGUCCAUUUAUCUUAGGUAGUCUAAUUUGCAGUACAGUGUUAAAGCACCUCUACUGGAAGACUAGUUUGUUUAGAAAUUAGAACAUUCAUAGUGAUUUACUGGAUUUGAUUUAAAAGACACAGCAGGAGUUGGCAAAAUUCACAUAUCACGGGGUUAAUGUGGGUUAGAAUGUAGCUAUUUGUAAUACAAAAAUAUUGCAUACCAAAUACACACAUCUGAUUUCUUUUAAUCUUGGUUCAUCUUUUUGCAGAAAUCAUUAGUUUGCUAAAAUGAACAACAAAAACAGCUGCAUUUGCCACUAUUAGGACACAGAAAUCUGCCAUUUUUUUUAUUUCCAAAGCAAGAGAAUGACACACGGGUAAUGAACCACGCCCAGCUUACCGGAAAGGUGUCGACUGACUGAUGGCUUCCAUGGCUCCCAUCGUAAGGAAGGCUAUGUCCACGGAAGUCUACCAGUUGUAUUCAUCAGCCGCCAUAUAUUCAGGCUCCACAACUUACUAGUGUGGCCUGGUCAGUACAUUUCAAAGUUGAGAGAGCCUUUCCAGUUCAAGAGCACACAGAUGAAAAUGGACAAAGAGCCCCCAAAGGGUGCUGAAGCCAGGUUAACGAUCACCAAGAUGAAGACUAUGAAGAAUAAUUAACAAGGAAACCCUCAGCUCCUCCAUGGGCAGUCCACACUUAACCCUAUGGAGCCUCACAUCUUCCCGUGUUUCUGAGAUUGACUGGCAUGGAAGACUGUCCCUAGUCAAUCUGAUAUUAACCAUCAGGGACUCCCCUGUCCCAAGCCCUCAUCAGUUGAUUCCAUUGCAACAUAAAAUGUCAUUUUCCAAAAAUAUUUCCAUUUUAAAGACCUACUAUGGUAGUAACCAUAGAUUUAUUGGCUGGGUUUUCUUCCCUUUCAUCGUUAUUGGAAACUAACCUCCUUACUUUUCAAAAAAAUCAACAGAUUUCCAGAAAAUGUUCCAGUUCUCAGAGAUUUUUGCAUAGUUCCAACCUGGACAGAGCUUUUCCUACAGUGACUUUCUUGUUAAGGAACCCACAGAGACCAGAUUUGGAGUGUGCAACAACCACACAGAAGACACACAGCUCUGAGUCCUGGCCGUGUGGAAAGCCUGACAGGCCACAUUCGGCUCCGUGCUCUUAAGCACAUUCAAGUUUCAAGCAAGUAUUUGCAAACUUCACUUUUCUGAAGAGGUUCUGAGUGCUGUUCUUUGGUUGCACCUCAAUUAGCUCCUAACAAGUGCUCCUUGAAAGAUUUCCAGUAACUGUAAAAAAAAAUUAAACUUACACCUUUGUGACUACAGGUGGAUCUAGCCUAGACACUGCUCUAUAUCUUAGAAUAGGAAAGUCUGCCCUAAGGCACAACAUUUUUGUCUUCAUUGUAAUUCUUAUCAGACUGAAUCAUUCCCUCUUUGCAAAUGCGAUUCACCAACAAAUCAUCACUGACAAUCCAUUCUUACCCUCAGUUUAGCUUCCAAAAUCCCAAAUGGACAUUACCAAGAAAAUCUUGGAACCCAAGAAAAUAUCUGUAAUCUCCAAAAAUACAUUUUACUGAUCAUAGCCUCUGAGUU